AUGCUGGUCUCCACUGCUCCUCGUUGCGCUUGCUUUACUUGGCUCACGCCCUCCUCACCGGGCACGCCCCUUCCACCUCCUUAUUGGCUUCCUCGAGACACGUGCGGAAAGGGUGGUGGCGGAGCUGGGCUGGGGCCCGGACUCCGGAUGGACCCGAGCGGCCGAGCGGUCUCAAACUUGAGGUCGCAUGGACAGCCUGGCGCUGGGCCGGUGGCGACGGCGGAAGCUAGAGGAAGCGCCGGUUCCGAGGGACGCGAAACGGGCAUGCAGGACAUCAGAAGCCAAUGGACACGAGCGAGGCAGCCAUCAGGUGAACAUGAGUGUCCUGGGGUCUUGGAGCACAGAGGACAUGGAGUCUCUUCCAAGAGGCUGCCCCAAUGCAGCAGGGCCACCGGGCAGCCAGGGAAGGGCUGGCUCAGUGAUUCCUCAAAACGGUGGAAGGAACAUGAUUCAGCUUUGCCCAAGGUGUAUUGCUGGGGAAUCUGUCUUUUCAUUCUGCCUCCAGCAUGUUUUUCAAAUGUACCUCCUGGACCAUGGAAAGGGCAGGAGAUGUCUCGGGACAUUUUAACCAUACUGAGAAUCGUUAGAAGAUGGAAAUGGGCAAAGGUCCCUGAUCAACUCAUGAAGUCAUCCAGAAAGGAGAAAACAUCACAAGCCUGGGCCUAUGUCCCAUUCCUGGCUGCUAUGGUGACAAACUGCCCCAUCUGAGAAGGAAGGUUUCUGGGAGGAUAUGGAGCAUUCACUGCAAAUACCCGAGUGUCCCGGGCAAACAAGGGUGAGUUGAUCAUUUUACAUGGUAUUUCCACAUCCCUUCCUGGCAGGUGCAUCCCUGCCCUGAGAUCAGAGACCACAAUUCGUCGCUGUUGUCUGGUUACCCUCCUUGCCAUCUCCCUAUCCAGUCUAAUAGGAGAGAACAUACACAAUCAUUGCUUAAUGCUCAUCCUCUGUGCCUCACUAAAGUGGGUGUAGGCAGGCCCUGCACAUAAAAAUCAAGAGGGCAUUGCAGUCCUGAGCUUAUUAGCUGGGUAGUUCAAGGCCAACCCAGCUGCCAGGAAGCUCUACUCAGCUGGGAUGGGGGAGUGGGGAGAGAGCUUGGACAGCAAACAGGAACCCUCUUGGCUGCUCUGCCCAUUCCUCUCCAUCUACCCUGGGGGUGUCUCCGCAUUUCGUCAUUUAAAACGAGCAAACACCAAUUAAGAAAAUAAUCUCCAAAAAUAAUUUCCCUCCGAGACAUGCAUCCUGUAUCCAGAGGUAAGUCUUGGAGGGAAAUGUCAACACAAGCUCAGAAAGACCAUAAUGUGGUUGGUGGGGACCACCCUGAUCCGUAUGGACAGCAGGCAGGAGCCAUAUGGCCGCUGAUACAGACGCUCCCAGAUGAAAUAAAAUGCAAGUGAGAGGAUGCAGCAAGGCUCACAAGCCAGGGAUGGUUUUUCCUGGACAACAACCUGUCUUCUCUCAUUAACAUAUUUCUUUUCCAGUAAACAACAGGUGGCUGAAGAUCUAUGCCUCCUAAACAAAUGGGAAGUUCUGAGUGGGAAACUUCGAUCAGUGGCGGGACCCCGUUCCCAGGACCACCUGUCACCACUGGCCCGGCCACUACAGGAUCUGUGCCUAUUGCUGUGCCUGUACCUGCUGGAAGCUGCCGACCCAUAUUUCUCCCUGUCAUGAAAGAAUUAAAGACACCAUCUUGGGUAGGAAGCAAUUGUGGAGGGUGGAAGUUUCUGGCCAGGCAAAUAAAUUGGAUUUAAGUAUAUUACAGUCAUAAUCUUUUCUGCCCCUCUCCAGACGGUCUCUGUACAUGGAAAAAUGAGAAUGUAUUCGCAGACAAAGCUUGACCUGAGGGAGAAGCCUGCCGGAAUCUGGAUUUUCAAUAACAUAAGACAAUAAAGCUUAGACUUCUAACCUGCCGCAAUAUAGUAAAAGUAUAAAGAGCUUAGCUGCUAAUAAAAGGGAAGGGUCUCCCCUCGUAUUUGAAGAUCUGGACCCCCCAGAAGGACACUUCAUAAAGAUCAUAACGGGUUAGCUGGGAUCAUGCAGACACGAGGCCCCUUGUUGACCAAUUGUCUGACAGUUGUCACCUAUAGGUCCGAUAUUAAUAAGUCCUGUGUUGAUUUCCUUGGGGUAUUUUUGUCCCUAUAAUUGCACAUCACCUUAUUGUGACUCUACUCUUAGCUAUGCACCGAGCUACAGUUACAGAUGCCAAGAGGCACAUGCACCCCU
rnacentral:lncRNA from 1 species